AGCUCCAAUAGCGUAUACUAAAGUUGUUGCAGUUAAAAAGCUCGUAGUUGGAUUUCUGCGAAGGUGGGGCGCCCGCUGUCCUAAGUGUCAGGUUGGGCAGCAACACCUCCGCAUCCUGCCACGAACCACGCUACCAUUAGUUUGGUGGCGUCUUGGGGACUGGCUCGUUUACUUUGAGAAAAUUUGAGUGUUCAAAGCAGGCAAUUGCCUUGAAAAUUGUAGCAUGGAAUGAUGAUUAAGGACUUUUGGUUCUAUUUUGUUGGUGUUCGGGACCGAAGUAAUGAUUGAUAGGGACAGUUGGGGGCGUCUGUAUUCUGAAGCGAGAGGUGAAAUUCUUAGACCUUCGGAAGACAAACAGCUGCGAAAGCGUCGCCAAGGAUGUUCCCUUGAUCAAGAACGAAAGUCUGAGACGCCAAGGCACAC
rnacentral:rRNA from 1 species